rnacentral:rRNA from 1 species
UACGGAGGGUGCGAGCGUUGUCCGGAAUCACUGGGCGUAAAGGGCGCGUAGGCGGCUCAUGAAGGCUGUGGUGAAAGUCCGGGGCUCAACCUCGGAUCGGCCGUGGCGACUCGUGGGCUGGAGCACUGUAGAGGUCAGUGGAAUUCCCGGUGUAGUGGUGAAAUGCGUAGAUAUCGGGAGGAACACCAGUGGCGCAAGCGGCCGACUGGCCGAGACCUGACGCUGAGACGCGACGGCGUGGGGAGCAAACCGG